rnacentral:rRNA from 1 species
GACGAACGCUGGCGGCGUGCUUAACACAUGCAAGUCGAACGGAAAGGCCCUGCUUUUGUGGGGUGCUCGAGUGGCGAACGGGUGAGUAACACGUGAGUAACCUGCCCUUGACUUUGGGAUAACUUCAGGGAACUGGGGCUAAUAUCGGAUAGGAGCUCCUGCUGCAUGGUGGGGGUUGGAAAGUUUCGGCGGUUGGGGAUGGACUCGCGGCUUAUCAGCUUGUUGGUGGGGUAGUGGCUUACCAAGGCUUUGACGGGUAGCCGGCCUGAGAGGGUGACCGGCCACAUUGGGACUGAGAUACGGCCCAGACUCCUACGGGAGGCAGCAGUGGGGAAUAUUGCACAAUGGGCGGAAGCCUGAUGCAGCAACGCCGCGUGCGGGAUGACGGCCUUCGGGUUGUAAACCGCUUUCGCCUGUGACGAAGCGUGAGUGACGGUAAUGGGUAAAGAAGCACCGGCUAACUACGUG